rnacentral:rRNA from 1 species
UACAGAGACUGCAAGCGUUAUUCGGAUUCACUGGGCGUAAAGGGUGCGCAGGCGGCCAAGUGGGGGAGGCGUGAAAGCCUGGAGCUUAACUCCAGAAUUGCACCUCAAACUACAUGGCUAGAGCAUUGGAGAGGGUAGCAGAAUUCACGGUGUAGCAGUGAAAUGCGUAGAUAUCGUGAGGAAUACCAGAGGCGAAGGCGGCUACCUGGACAAUUGCUGACGCUCAGGCACGAAAGCGUGGGGAGCAAAAGGG